AUGCAUGCAAGCAAGCAAAUAUUGAAACAAAUAUUUAGAUAAGCACUUCGCUAAUUCUGCCGAGGUUUUUAUUCCGGUUUAUUUUUCUCUUUGAUGUAUAUUCAUCAAAUACCUUGAAACUUGAAAAUAAAAAUUUCCUUUGAUUUGACCAUGGGAUCGGCCAAUUCAUCUAUAUAGCGUAUCUGUUGGUGCUAAGCCUAUAAUUAGUACAAUUACAUAGGUGAUUUUUGAAAAUUCUCUACACUGAUUGGUUGCCGUUGAGGUGAUUAUAACGCGAUAAUCAGCUAAGCGAUUUUCGAAAUGGCGGCCGAAGCAGUUUUGUCAAUUAAAUGACGAAGAAAUGUGUAUUUUUUAAUUUUUUCCAAAUAAUCACCUAUACGAAAUCAC